GAGCAGCACGCCGCGUGGAGGAUGACACUUUUCGGAGCGUAAACUCCUUUUCUUGGGAAAGAAUUAUGACGGUACCCAAGGAAUAAGCACCGGCUAACUCCGUGCCAGCAGCCGCGGUAAUACGGAGGGUGCAAGCGUUACUCGGAAUCACUGGGCGUAAAGGACGCGUAGGCGGAUUAUCAAGUCUCUUGUGAAAUCUAACGGCUUAACCGUUAAACUGCUUGGGAAACUGAUAAUCUAGAGUAAGGGAGAGGCAGAUGGAAUUCUUGGUGUAGGGGUAAAAUCCGUAGAGAUCAAGAAGAAUACCCAUUGCGAAAGCGAUCUGCUGGAACUUAACUGACGCUAAUGCGUGAAAGCGUGGGGAGCAAACA
rnacentral:rRNA from 1 species